rnacentral:rRNA from 1 species
AUUGAACGCUGGCGGCAGGCCUAACACAUGCAAGUCGAGCGGAAGAAGGGAGCUUGCUCCUGGAUUCAGCGGCGGACGGGUGAGUAAUGCCUAGGAAUCUGCCUGGUAGUGGGGGAUAACGUCCGGAAACGGGCGCUAAUACCGCAUACGCCCUGAGGGAGAAAGGGGGGGAUCUUCGGACCUCACGCUAUCAGAUGAGCCUAGGUCGGAUUAGCUAGUUGGUGGGGUAAAGGCCUACCAAGGCGACGAUCCGUAACUGGUCUGAGAGGAUGAUCAGUCACACUGGAACUGAGACACGGUCCAGACUCCUACGGGAGGCAGCAGUGGGGAAUAUUGGACAAUGGGCGAAAGCCUGAUCCAGCCAUGCCGCGUGUGUGAAGAAGGUCUUCGGAUUGUAAAGCACUUUAAGUUGGGAGGAAGGGCAGUAAGUUAAUACCUUGCUGUUUUGACGGUACCAACAGAAUAAGCACCGGCUAACUUCGUG